rnacentral:tRNA from 26 species
AUUUAUAUAGUUUAAUAAAAAAAACAUUCCAUUUUCAUUGCAAAAUUAAAUAUUAAUUAUUUUAUAAAUA